CCUGAGCAAACCAAAAGAUCGAAUGGGGAGAUUCAUCGUCAGCGGUGUUGGCUUCCGUGCGGCUCGCGAUGGCCGGGACUUCGGUCUCGCGUUCACGCGGUCGCCGCGGCAUGCCCGGCAUCGUCGGCGUGCACUUCUCCCCUAGUAGGACGUCGCGACCCGUUGGGUGUCGGAUCAAUGGCCGGUCGGUCUGUCUGUUGCGCCUCGGCGCGGCAAACCAAUCGGUCCGUCUUCCGGCUGCCCGGCGGUAUAAAACGCUUAAUCACGGUAAUGGGUCGCAACUUGAAUGCUUUCAGGCCCGUCGGCAGGCUCGUCUCGCUCGGAUUUACGGACCUGGUGCCGUUGCCGGGCGCUUGGCGUGGCUGUUAGUCGACGGUGUCUCGGACUGGCUCUUACCGGUCUGCGACGCUACUGCUUUGGGUACUUUC
rnacentral:rRNA from 1 species